rnacentral:rRNA from 1 species
AUUGAACGCUGGCGGCAGGCCUAACACAUGCAAGUCGAGCGAGCGGCGGACGGGUGAGUAAUAUAUGGGGAUCUGCCCGAUGUAGGGGGAUAACUAAGGGAAACGGUGGCUCAUACCGCAUACUAUCGGGUGAAGCCAUAUGGGAUUAGCUCGUAGUGGGGGUAAAGUCUCACAUAGGCUAACAUCUCUAGCUGGUCUGAGAGGAUGAUCAUCCACACUGGGACUGAGAAACGGCCCAGACUCCUACGGGAGGAAGCAGUGGUGAAUAUUGCACAAUGGGGGAAACCCUGAUGCAGCCAUGCCGCGUGUAUGAAGAAGGCCUUAGGGUUGUAAAGUACUUUCAGCGAGGAGGCGUUACCCGCAGAAGAAGCACCGGCUAACUCCGUGCCAGCAGCCGCGGUAAUAC